AGAGCCCUUCUCUGACCCGGAGACUUCCUGUCACUGGAGCACUGGCCUCUGGCCUCUGCGUCACUCUUUUGAGCUGGGAGAGGGUGGGGCAGAAGCAAAGACACAAUGGAUGAACGUGACCCAAAGGGACUGUCCGUAUGAAAAAGAAGACCCACAGAAAACAUGGGGAAACCACUCACACGGCGCAUGUGCAGGGGCCGAGCCAAGCUUGUGAACCAUGUCAUCAGCUGGCGAGGAGAAGACAGGCCAAGGUCGCUCUGGUCACAGUGUUCCAUCACAGCAAUAGAAACCCCGACAAACCCAGGAAGGAUGCGUCGUGUCACCCAGGAGUUAGGAGUGAAAGCUGAAGUGAGCAAAGAGCCUUUUACAUUGGGCAAGGUCUCUUCUCAGCCUUCAUUCCAGUCACUUCCCACAUGCUCUGCAAGCCCAGACAUUCCCCAGAGGGCUUCCAGGAAGCUCUCUCUCCACAAAGUUUUCUCUGGAAGCAGCCUGUAUCCUAGGGAGGCGGGGAAGCACUUGUAGACGUCUGUGGAAGAAGUGAACUGAAGCCGUCAGCAGAUUCUGCCUUGCCUGGCCCAGGGGACUGUAGGUCCUGGUUCUCUGGCCUGACAUCCCAUAGGCAACACCCUGAAAGCUCUAGAGCAGCCUGUGGGUCAUGACCCCUCUUUUUUGGGGGUAUGUGAGUCACCUAUCAGAUAUCCUGCGUUUUCAAUAUAUACAUUAUGAUUCAUAA
rnacentral:lncRNA from 1 species